GACGAACGCUGGCGGCGUGCCUAAUACAUGCAAGUAGGACGCAGUUGCGAACGGGUGAGUAACGCGUAGGUAACUACCUAUUAGAGGGGGAUAACUAUUGGAAACGAUAGCUCAUACCGCAUACUAGUAGAUUGACCUGCGUUGUAUUAGCUAGUAGGUGGGGUAAUGGCCUACCGAGGAAAUGAUACAUAGCCGACCUUAGAGGGUGAUCGGCCAAACUGGGACUGAGGCACGGCCUAGACUCCUACGGGUGGGCGGAGUAGGGAAUCUUCGGCAAUGGGGGGAACCCUGACCGAGCAACGCCGCGUGAGUGAAGAAGGUUUUCGGAUCGUAAAGCUCUGUUGUUAAGGAAGCGGUACUUAACCAGAAAGGGACGGCUAACUACGUGCCAGCAGCCGCGGUAAUUC
rnacentral:rRNA from 1 species